ensembl:lncRNA
CCUCUUGUUUCCCUGGCUUCAGCCUGAAUGUAGCAGUAGGAAGCUUUCUUUGGGUCUCUGCUACUAACAGCCGCAGUUAUGGGAUAGGGCAAAUCCUGAGACGUGCCUGAUACAUGGGUAACUCCGUGGAAGCCUCAGGUCUCGGUUCUGAGUCAAGUCAGGAGGCGAGGCUCAUCCAGCAAGAGCCUGUGGUUAGGCUGCCACCUAGUGUUGAGCUGGGUGUACAGCAGAAAGGCCUCUACAGGGCACCCAACCUGAGGGGCUGACAGGCAAGAAAGAGGGAAAACCAGAAAAUCUGCAAAGAAGCCAGGCUCCUGAGGGGCCCCAACCACCCCAGACCAGACGGAAAAUGCAUUUCGGGCGAAGACAAACGAUGAAGUCAGCCUGCAGCCGGAGGCCAAGAAAACUAAAAGCGCACUUUUACAGGAGCUAUGGGAACAGUCCAGGCAGAUGGAAGCAAGACACGCGGAGCAUCUGGGCAGAACGGAACCAUACGGACUUGUGCCUGGUUGCUCUGAAGGUGAAGAGUGAGGCCAGGAGGUGAGGAGCCUCAUCACGGGCCAGAUGUGUGCAAAUGGCCGUUGGGACUGAAGUCUGCAGUGAGAGAAGCUCCAGCGAGUCUGAGCAGGAGCCAGGGAGGGGGCUGCGCUAGGCUCUGGGGCUUGGAGAGGCGGGACUAAGGGGUGAUUGACAGGACGGCCAGCGACAGGCCCAAGGAGCAUUUGGGCUGCUAUUGGCAAGGGGGACAGAAGACCCAAGCUUAGAGAAAUGCACCAGCGAGUAGAUGGGGCCCUGAGAACAGGCAACAGGGGGUAUCUGAGCUGGGGCCUCUCUUGAUAAGAUUACAGGAGAAGAGAAAAACUCUGCCAGCUCAUGUGCUGAUAGGUACCAGCUAGGGAGGGAGACCAAGGGGCCCCAGGGGAUGCUAUUUGCCGUGGGUGGGCAGAACUGUCAUAAGUUCAGAGCCCCCAGGUGAGAAAUAGCAAAAUGUUUUCUUCUAAAAAAAAGUUUUCUUCUCAUCUGCCUGGACCAUGUCAGUAAGGCAUGGGGCAGCUCCUGGGAGAGCAGGCAGCAAAUCACUGGUGAGCUGGAAGACAGAGUCCUGGGUUGUCCACUGUGCAGAUUCAAUGCUGCAGAUAAGGAGUGUGUGUCUGGUAUAGCUGUCCACGUCUGCUGCUGCUGCUAAGUCGCUUCAGUCGUGUCCGACUCUGUGCGACCCCAUAGACGGCAGCCCACCAGGCUCCCCGUCCCUGGGAUUCUCCAGGCAAGAACACUGGAGUGGGUUGCCAUUUCCUUCUCCAAUGCAUGAAAGUGAAAAGUCAAAGUGAAGUCGCUCAGUCGAGUCCGACUCUUAGCGACCCCAUGGACUGCGGCCCACCAGGCUCCUCCGUCCAUGGGAUUUUCCAGGCGAGAGUACUGGAGUGGGGUGCCAUUGUCCA